GUUUUUCGAAUGAAAUUAUUAUACGUGCUGGAAAUUCGAUGCAAGAAAUUCGUUCCUUCUAAACGACGAAGCUCAGAGAUCUGAAAAGUAAAAUGAAAAUUUCGGCACUUCAUAGUUUAUCCGUACCUAAUAAUUGUCGGAAUUCUUUAUCAACUGGCAGCGCAACGACGCGGAUCGAGAACCUUGACUUUAUUCAUAAAAUAAACCGACCAAAAGAAUCUGCAGCCGAUGACUCAUUCUGGUUUAUUCGCCGUCGUAUACUUAUAAUACGUACAGAUAUUACAUUCAAGCAGAGAAAUUACCAUUUUUUAACCACAAGCUUGAAAUCCCGUCAUAAUUGGUAUGCUGAACAUCUUGUUGAAAGUCGAGUAGGGAAGAAGAAAGAUAAAGGUUGAUAAUCCGCCUCAAUCGUCGCGUAAUGAGGGACGGAAGAAGAAGAAGAAGAAGAAGAAAUUCCGAAUAAUAAGAUUUAUUUUUAUGAGAGAGAUACUUUUCUGAGGAUCUUGUCAAGUUGUAUGAUUGCUAUUGAAAUUAUAUCUUUUGUGGGUUUGGAAAAAAAAAAAAAAUACUAACGAUUUGCCGAAAUUCUACCCCUCCUGUUCCGUAACACAUACAGAUUUGAAAACAACAAUUCUGUCGUUUCCAUAGCUCGUUUGAGUGGAUACAAUCGGCUUAUACUGUAAAUGGAAGAGAGAA
rnacentral:lncRNA from 1 species